rnacentral:lncRNA from 1 species
CUUUUUGACAGCGGCUGUAACCCUGAGACCGGUGAUGUGAGCAAGCCUGGGCUGGCCUAAUAGAGAGGCCUUAUGCAGCAGGGCUGAGCCCAGGCAGCAGCCUGCCUAUGUCCAACCAGCCAAUUGCCAGACACGUGAGUGAGGUCAUCUUAGGCCAUCCAGCCCCAUUUAAGACCCUAGAGGACUACAGACACAUGAAUGACUCCAGGGAAGACCAGCAGCAGAACCACUCCGGUGACCUCAGCCCAAAUCGCUGAUCCAGAUUCAUGAGCAAGCCGUUAAGUCUGGCCAUGGUUUGUAACGCAGUGAUCAAUAACUGAUAUAGAAGGUCCUGCAGAGAGAGAAGACCACGAGAAGCAAAAAGCAGCAAGAUGACUGGAAAGAUUCAGGAAUUGGGAGCAGUGAAUAACUCAAAGUGCAGUGGAGGUUGGUGCUGAACAUCAGCAUUAGCUGACAAUUUGUAAAAGAAGCAGUUCCUGGCCAGGUGCCAUGGCUCACGCCUAUAAUCUCAGCACUUUGGGAGACCAAGGAGGGUGUAUCACGAGGUCAAGAGAUCGAGACCAUCCUGGCUAACACAGUGAAACCCUGUCUCUACGAAAAAGAACACAAAAAAUUAGCCAGGUGUGGUGGCACGGGCCUGUAGUCCCAGCUAUUCGGGAGGCUGAGGCAGGAGAAUCACUUUAACCUGAGAGGCGGAGGUUGCAGUGAGCCGAGAUCGAGUCACUGCACUCCAGCCUGGGUGACAGGGCUAGAGUCCGUCUCAUAAAUAAAAUGAAAUAAUAAAAAACAGAUGUUCAAACUCACUGGUAAUCAAUGAAAUGCAAGUUAAAACAAUGAGAUACCAUUUUAUACCUCG